rnacentral:rRNA from 1 species
UACAGAGGGUGCAAGCGUUAAUCGGAGUUACUGGGCGUAAAGGGCUCGUAGGCGGCCAACUAAGUCAGACGUGAAAUCCCUCGGCUUAACCGGGGAACUGCGUCUGAUACUGGAUGGCUUGAGAUUGGGAGAGGGAUGCGGAAUUCCAGGUGUAGCGGUGAAAUGCGUAGAUAUCUGGAGGAACACCGGUGGCGAAGGCGACAUCCUGGACCAACACUGACGCUGAGGAGCGAAAGCCAGGGGAGCAAACGGG